UACAGAGGGUGCGAGCGUUAAUCGGAAUUACUGGGCGUAAAGCGCGCGUAGGCGGCUUUUCAAGUCGAUUGUGAAAUCCCCGGGCUUAACCUGGGAACUGCAGUCGAGACUGUCUAGCUAGAGUAUGGGAGAGGGAAGUGGAAGUUUCAGGUGUAGCGGUGAAAUGCGUAGAUAUCUGAAGGAACAUCAGUGGCGAAAGCGACUUCCUGGACCAAUACUGAUGCUCAUGUGCGAAAGCGUGGGGA
rnacentral:rRNA from 1 species